CCUACGGGAGGCAGCAGUGGGGGAUAUUGCACAAUGGGGGAAACCCUGAUGCAGCGACGCCGCGUGGGUGAAGAAGUAUUUCGGUAUGUAAAACUCUAUCAGCAGGGAAGAAAAUGACGGUACCUGACUAAGAAGCCCCGGCUAACUACGUACCAGCAGCCGCGGUAAUACGUAGGGGGCAAGCGUUAUCCGGAUUUACUGGGUGUAAAGGGAGCGUAGACGGCCAGACAAGUCAGAAGUGAAAGCGCAGGGCUCAACCCUGGGACUGCUUUGGAAACUGCCGGGCUGGAGUGCAGGAGAGGUAAGCGGAAUUCCUAGUGUAGCGGUGAAAUGCGUAGAUAUUAGGAGGAACACCAGUGGCGAAGGCGGCUUACUGGACUGUAACUGACGUUGAGGCUCGAAAGCGUGGGGAGCAAACAGGAUUAGAUACCCUUGUAGUC
rnacentral:rRNA from 1 species